GCCAAGUGCCCAAAACCUCUCUGCAGUAAAUCUUCAGAGCCAGUUUGACUCACCUGAAGUUUCUGCUGCUUUGUGUCCCUCUCUUUUGGAAGCAGAUUGUGAGUCCAGACCCAGCUUAACUCUGCCAAACCCCCCUGGUCCGACUGCCUGCAUCCAAGUAAUGUCCUGCUCCAUGGGAGUUUUAAGUGGAGGUUAUUGAACAAAUGCUUUUGCACUCUGAUAAAUUCCCAGACUGAUACAUGAGGGUAACCAAUAUCAAUAAGCACCGAGGAUCAGCCCAGCACUUCCCACCGUGGGACAAUACCGGAUAAAAGCCAAGUUAUUAUUAUCAUCACUGUCUCUGGAGUUAAGCCUUGCUCCACUUUUUAAAGCCUUAGAUAAUUAGGUUUCCAACACCCUGCUGACCUCAAAGUGCUCCUUUCUUCUCCUCAGACCUGUGACUAACACAGAUUUACCCACAAAGUGCCAUUCUCCAGGUGAAAUAAGAUCCGGAUGAGAAGCAGUUGGCUCCAAAUCAACUGAGAGAAGAGCGACAGCCUUUGGUGAGCAGCUGGGACCAUGGCAAAAUAAUGGAAAAAACCCAGUUACCUCACCCUGUGCUCACAGCAUCUCUGCUGUUCAAGAAGAUGGAUGGUCUUGGGGUCAUAGAAGCCUCAUCUGCUAUGGUAACAGCCAUUGCCAAAAACAAGUGCUGAUUGCUGAGUGAAUUUCCACAGGCUCCUUUUGUGCCAACUCCCUGAAAAUAAAGCACCUCAUACAUUCAUGGAUGGGAGUUCUCAAAUUCUGCAAGUGGCUACCAGCACCAAAACACCAGAGCUGGAGAUGCAGCACUGAGUGGCACCACCAUUCCUGCAGCAGCUGGGAGAUGCCCUUCUCCAGGACUACCAGGCAGUGACAAAUCACCCCAAAUCUAAGUCACAGCUGGCAAGAGCCCCUUUCAGAGUACCAAAGUGCAUGUCUCUGGCUUCCAUCCUCAGGAACAAGGCAGUAGUCUCCAACUAUAAUCCAGUCUGUCCAGCCUUCCCUGCUCCCAAGAUCAACAGCCCAGUCUAGUUCCAAGAGCUGUGUGGAGAUAACAAGAACCAAAGAGGCAGCAGGUGGUUCCAGCUGACUUCAUCACAUCUUUCCCCAAAAUAAUCUGCUGGACAGCUGUGAGGAGGAGAAUCUCAUCUGGCUGCAAAUCA
rnacentral:lncRNA from 1 species